rnacentral:rRNA from 1 species
CGGGACGGGUGAGUAACGCGUGGGUGACCUGCCCCAUACCGGGGGAUAACAGCUGGAAACGGCUGCUAAUACCGCAUAAGCGCACAGAGCUGCAUGGCUCAGUGUGAAAAACUCCGGUGGUAUGGGAUGGGCCCGCGUCUGAUUAGGCAGUUGGCGGGGUAACGGCCCACCAAACCGACGAUCAGUAGCCGGCCUGAGAGGGCGACCGGCCACAUUGGGACUGAGACACGGCCCAA